ensembl:ncRNA lncRNA:CR44657 long non-coding RNA:CR44657
GAGUAAAGUCUUCUUAUUUGGGAUUUUACACCCACCGUAACUCCUUGUCGCCGAAACACACAGACAGUUUAUUUCAUAUCUCGGCGAAUAUAUUCGGGCUUAAUAAUUAAUUUUUGGCGAGCCUCUGGCGCCGUGUCCUUUUCGCAGGAGCAGAGGCCUUGUUGAGCGCAACCGGCGACAUCCGCUUCAGAUUUGGAUCUCCACAGCGCCAGUCCACUCCGCUCCACUCCGCUUCGGUUUUUGUUGGUAGCUGAUUAGCCGCACUUAGUGGAACGGCAUUAGGCCACUUGACGAAAUUAAAGGGAUACUCCAGUCGUCGCCAAAGCCGUUAUCGUCGUUGUCCUGCGAAAGAGGUCCUCGGGCGGUCAUGUGUAACGGCGACAGCUGCUAAGACGUGCAAAAUAAACAGAAAUUCCUACCGAAAAUAUAAUCCGGAAGCAGCCACAUAAUGACAAACGCUGUGUGCAAGCGAGAGAGCAGAACAGUGGGCGAGUGAGAGGGGGCAGAUCCAGGACGAGACAGACAAAAUGCCUUGUUCCAACUCGAGCCGUAAAGAGGAAAAGGAUUAUAAAAUACGGCAGAAAAAAUAGAGUGCUGAUCCUUCAGUGCCCUCAGAUAGAGUAUAAGCCAAAAAAAAAACGUUUGACUCAGGACGAUGCCAUCGACAGCGGCGUCAUUUGGCGUGCAUAGAAACCGUUAGUCCGGCCCUCGACAAAAUACAAGUAAAUAUAUCCAAAAAAAAAAAGAAGGAAUAAAGUAUAGCAACGGGUGGGGAGCCCGAAUGUUUGUACUUUAAAUGACAUUCCGCAGUAAAUUUCACGUUUAUAGCCGGCACACAACAAAUAAAUAUCAAGCGUUCAGCGGCGCUGGAAGGGCUGCCAAACAAUUGAAAGUGGACGAAAAACGACGAGAAACGGAUGAGGGAAUCCUGCUGUCGUCCUGCUGCCACCGCCAGGAUCAGCUCCGACCAGCAAAACAAUAAAAAAUGAUUGCACAAAAUAAUAAAAUAGCGGCUGAGGACGGAGUUGCCGGCCGGAGUAGCUGGAGCCCUUCUCGGCGCUUCUCAUAAAUUGAAAUGAGUGAGAGCCAUCGUCAUAGGAUGCCGGCUAUUCGGAGCAAAGUUAUAAAUCCACGAUAUGUGUUGUAAAAAUCAUAAAUAUCUAAGCUUAAGAUGGGUUCUUAAAGGAUAUUGCUAGUUUCUUCGAAAGUUACAUAAAUGUGUUAUUGGAUGGAUAAAGUAGAAUGUUCAUUAACUUGAUAUUGAUAUUUUUUGGCCAGCUUGGACAUUCCGGAAUUCGUUCCCAUCCAUAUUGGCACAUGCUUCCUCAAUAACUCUGGGGGCCAACUGGGAUUCAGGGUGGGGCAAUCAACUAGUCGUCCAGGCCAGAGCGAAGUCGAAGUCCUGAGACGAACAUAUCAGCGGCACUUCAUCUUGAUUGACAUGCGCAUUGAGAGCGUUGACAUAAUGAUGGACAGACCUGAUCGCCGGCUGCGUUGCUUGAUCUGGCCGCUGGAUUUGGACUCGAUUGGUCCAGUCGCAAUCCUUAGGCCCAAAACUGGGAGUUGGGAACUGGCAGCUGGGAGUCGGCGCUUGCUGUUUGGCCACAUCGACCGAUAUGCGUAAUGAGAGGAGCCGGUAUACCGAUAGCGGUGAUUGCGGCCUUUAAGAUUUUCCACAAUAUCAAUUUUCAUUGUUUCGAGGGUCCAGAGACAUCCUUACCUCGGCUUUGUCACUCACGAUCUGUUCUCGAUCGGUGCGAUCUGCACUAUCUGCGAUGACAUAAAUAGACGCCAAUUAAAUGGGCCCUUUGAUGGGACACGUUUUAUUCGCUCUUUACACUUGCGAAAAGCUGUCUGGAAUUCUUCAGUGUUCUUUGAAAGUUUUGGUAAAAUGUUUUUGUAAUCACUGUGGACGGCAGUCCACGUAGUGACGAAGCGCACAAGGAGAGCGAAAAGCGAAGGCGACUAGUAUACAUAUAUAUAUUUAUGUUUGGUCAAUUAAAUAAGAAUUGUGUGUCUUCCCAGGUUUGUAAAACUGAAAGAAAAAACUGUUUUUGAUCUUUCUGUCUUUUAUUUCGAGAACCGGAAUCGAGGCAGCCACAAAGUAACAGCGAAACGGAAAUAAUUUUACAAUAAAUUAUAUCAAAACGAGUGGCACAUCUACAGCCACGAAAAUAUGACGCAGAAAGUUAUCGGCGGUGGGUGGAAAAGGGACGGGGGGUUAGCGGCCAGGACGAGAACGGGACAGAACCAGUUUCUUGAAACUUUGCGAGACAUAACGGCGUCUGCCAAAAAGGAAACAGACACAGUCCAACAACAGCAACAUCAGGCCAAAAGCCACAAUUGUGGGCGGCAAAAAGAAAGGGGGCGUGACCGGCCAAAUAAAACCGGAGGACGAGGGUCCUCGAGAACUUUUGUGGCGACAAUUUCUCCGACUUCUUAUGCCCUAUCACAAAGGGGCAUUUCAACAUUGAUAUAUUAUAUUUUUAACUAGGU